rfam:Schistosoma mattheei strain Denwood, Zambia genome assembly, scaffold: SMTD_scaffold0005074
GGACAGCUGAGGAGUCCCACAAUAGGACUAAACGAUCGUCUAAUGC